rnacentral:rRNA from 1 species
GACGGAGGAUGCAAGCGUUAUCCGGAUUGAUUGGGCGUAAAGCGUCUGUAGGUGGCUUGGUAAGUCUGCUGUCAAAGCCCCGGGCUUAACCCUGGACAGGCAGUGGAAACUACCGAGCUUGAGUACGGUAGGGGCAGAGGGAAUUCCCGGUGGAGCGGUGAAAUGCGUAGAGAUCGGGAAGAACGCCAACAGCGAAAGCACUCUGCUGGGCCGACACUGACACUGAGAGACGAAAGCUAGGGGAGCAAAUGGG